CCCUUAGAUGUCCUGGGCCGCACGCGCGCUACACUGACAUGUUCAACAAGCCACCUAGUUCGACAGGAUUUGGGAAAUCUUUGAACGCAUGUCGUGAUAGGGAUAGAUCAUUGCAAUUAUUGAUCUUGAACGAGGAAUUCCUAGUAAACGCGAGUCAUCAGCUCGCAUUGAUUACGUCCCUGCCCUUUGUACACACCGCCCGUCGCACCUACCGAUUGAAUGUUUCGGUGAAGAUUCCGGAUAGGACUUUUUUGAUUUAUUUCAAUUUUGUCUUAAAAGCUAUCUAAACCUCAACAUUUAGAGGAAGGUGAAGUCGUAACA
rnacentral:rRNA from 1 species